GUUCCCACCCACAUCAGUUGUAUCUCUUCUCACUUGAGUCCCAGGAGACCCCAGAGAAGUCACCUAUGAAAGAGCACACCACUCUUUCAUCUUAUACAACUGUGUCUCUGCCUGGCCCACAACAGUAUUUAAUGAAGAUUCUGGAAUUUAGUGAAUGAAUCACUUCAUUCCCGGCACCAUCUUGCUGUUGGCCCUAGUUUAUUCUCUCACUGGGGAACUUGAGCUGCUGUAGGUUUCUUGGGCAGGCUUUGAGGCUCAAGUCCAGGAUCCAAGAAGCUUGACAGCAAGAGUGAACAAUUCCCAGAUGAGUGAUCCACAGCAGCAAGUGGCAAGGUCCAGACAGUUAGCAUGAGUCCUCGAUCUGCAGAGAUUCUGAGUGUUGAAGAUCUGCCAAGGCAGCUCUAGAUGGUUGUGAGUGAGCAGUGGGAAGAAGCCCAGGUUGUCUGCACUGGGUGUGAAUGGAAGGAUUUGGAGCUUUGGGCUGGAAGAUUUUAUUCGGAGAACCCUGGACAAAAUCGCAGGAGCUAAGGAAUGGGAGUUCCCAGAAUGGCUUCAACCUGUCCACUGUAAUAUUCCCAAUAUACACAUCAUAUAAACCAUGAUGGCACAUGCUCAUGAUCCCAGCACUCAGCGGGUAGAUGCAGGAGGAUCAAAAGUUUAAGGUCAACCUUGGCUACUUAAUGAGUUGGAGGCCAGUGUGGACUACUUGAGAUUCUGGACUACUCUUUGGCUAUCUCUUUGACUUAUACAGAAAUGACUGGGCAUAUACGCAAAAGAAGCACAUUCAUAUAACAAGGACAUAUGUUCAACCAUGUUCAUAGCAGCAUUAUUUGUAUGUAAU
rnacentral:lncRNA from 1 species